rnacentral:rRNA from 1 species
AACGAACGCUGGCGGCAGGCCUAACACAUGCAAGUCGAGCGAGAUCUUCGGGUCUAGCGGCGGACGGGUGAGUAACGCGUGGGAAUAUGCCCUUCUCUGCGGAAUAGCCUCGGGAAACUGAGCGUAAUACCGCAUACGCCCUUUGGGGGAAAGAUUUAUCGGAGAAGGAUUAGCCCGCGUUGGAUUAGGUAGUUGGUGGGGUAACGGCCUACCAAGCCGACGAUCCAUAGCUGGUUUGAGAGGAUGAUCAGCCACACUGGGACUGAGACACGGCCCAGACUCCUACGGAAGGCAGCAGUGGGGAAUCUUAGACAAUGGGGGCAACCCUGAUCUAGCCAUGCCGCGUGAGUGAUGAAGGCCUUAGGGUUGUAAAGCUCUUUCAGCUGGGAAGAUAAUGACGGUACCAGCAGAAGAAGCCCCGGCUAACUCCGUG